CAGGCCAACACUACAAGUCCAACUAAGCAAAAGAUGUCUAGAAGUUACCAUGAUGACAGAGACAGAAGGCCGAUUUGGUUAAGGAAGACAGAAGUAGGAGGCUUGGAGAAGCAGAAACACAGGAAUUAUUUGGAGCCCAGGAGCUCAGAGAAGCCAAAAGAACAGCAUUAGGGAGUGGGUUGUUUUAAUGGCCUGCUGAACACAGGUGUCUCUGGAACCAGAGACAUUGAUUGUAACUUCAGAACAGACAGAUACAUGUAGAUUAAUUCAACUCCUGACUAAGGCAAAGAUAUAGAAUCUAGGAUUAAUUUACAGUCUCAGUGGUAAAUAAUAAUAAUAAAUAUAGUCAAUACUUACACAGGACUUAGUAGUACUUUGUGUAUAUUCAAUCCUCACCAUAACCCUGUGAGGUCUCAUGAGAACUCUUCCAGAGAAUCCUAGAAAUAAAAGGGAGGCUUUGAAUAGGAGCAGGAAAAAGAUGAGACCCCUGAGUUGUACAGAUACUAUUUACUGUCAAGAUGAUACAUGAAAUUACCCAGAGGAAGAGCCUAUAUAAAAAAGAUGGGUAAGAACAGAGCCUUGGAGUCCCCCAAAAUUUAGAAGAAAGGAAGAUGAGAAUCUAUCAAAGGAGACUGGAAAGAAGCAAGCUAUGAAGGAGGAGAAAACCCUUUUGGUGUUUUGAGACCUAGAAGACCCUUCAUCAGAGAACUCGAGAAAUUGCUACAAUAAUCAGAUACACAAUUGUGCUGAGGAAGAUGGCAGAGUGGGAGUACCAGGGAGAGAAUGAUAAUUUCUCCAUCACCUUGCUCAGGCUUCAGAAGAAAAGGUGCUGGAAGAAUAAAGCCCCUGGCAAUGAAUUACAAAGCAAAGACGAGAUAUGGGGGAACCGCGUCAGAGAAGCUCGCAGGCAGUGGAGACCUUCUUCUUCUAAGAAUAGAAAGAAAGAACUUUUGGUUCCUCAUCGCAUGGAUAAAAGAAAGAAUAAAGAACCCACGAUGACUGAAUGGGCUGUUCAGCUUUCGGUUUUCCUUCCUUGCCUACGUCUGUGUCAUCCUGUUUGUGGUUAUUUUGUGUGCCCGUGGAUGGUUCCUAAACAUUUGGAUAUUAGAGAAUAGUAAAAUAUCAAGAACUGUUUUGAAGGCUGAUACGAACUUGCCAUUAUUUUUUCCAGGUAAGUAAAUUUUAGAAGUACUAUCUACUAUAACAUCAUUUUACAAAAGGAAAGCUAUUUUUAACCCUCCAAAAUCCUCUAAUCUCAGACUUUCAUAAUUGAAUAAUUUUACCUUUUUUGAAACUAAAAUUCUUUAUACUAUUAUUAUUAUUUCUCUCAUUUUUCUCGGGCAGGUUUCAACUUAGUCAUGAACUGGGGUUUGUGAACUACUUCCCUAGACUUAAGACUGGAUCAGAGCCUAGACAAUUCUCCGCAUGAAGAAACCCUUCAUUUCUCAGAUGCACAAAACCAUUAGCACUAUUAUAACAUUGUUAUGGUGCAUAAUGAGGUUUGCUCAUAGGAAUUUGCCUAUAUUUGCCCAUUUUGACCUACAAAAAAUGUCAUAUGGUUCAAAUGAAUAUCAUGAUCUUUUUGUCUGCACUUGACCAUUUUAUAAUGUCAAAUAAAUGUUAGAACUAUUACAAAUGUAUUCACAGAAACUGUGGAACUACAUCUUUUCUGAAGAAAGUGUGUAAUAAUUCUUCAUAAAUGAAUUCGUGUUUUGGUUUUGUUUUGUUUUUUUUUGUUUCUUUUG